GUGCCUGCUUCGGCAGCACAUAUCCUAAAAUGGGAACAGUACAGAGGAAAUUAGCAUGGCCCUGCAUAGGGAGGCUGCACACAUUUUUGAAGCAUUCCAUAUUUGC
ensembl:snRNA U6 U6 spliceosomal RNA